rnacentral:rRNA from 1 species
AUGGCUCAGGAUAAACGCUGGCGGCGUGCUUAACACAUGCAAGUCGAACGGAGUGGUUCUCCCGAGGAUUGAUGGUGCUGCACUGAUGACUCAUUGAAUCACUUAGUGGCGGACGGGUGAGUAACGCGUGGGAAACCUGCCCUAUACUGGGGGAUAGCAGUUGGAAACGACUGAUAAUACCGCAUAAGCGCACAGGGCCGCAUGGUCUAGUGUGAAAAACUCCGGUGGUAUAGAAUGGUCCCGCGUCUGAUUAGCUAGUUGGUGAGGUAACGGCCCACCAAGGCGACGAUCAGUAGCCGGCCUGAGAGGGUGUACGGCCACAUUGGGACUGAGACACGGCCCAAACUCCUACGGGAGGCAGCAGUGGGGAAUAUUGGACAAUGGGGGAAACCCUGAUCCAGCCGACGCCGCGUGAACGAUGAAGUAUUUCGGUAUGUAAAGUUCUAUCAGCAGGGAAGAUAAUGACGGUACCUGACUAAGAAGCACCGGCUAAAUACGUGCCAGCAGCAGC